rnacentral:rRNA from 1 species
UACGGGGGGAGCAAGCGUUGUUCGGAUUUACUGGGCGUAAAGGGCGCGUAGGCGGCCUGUGCAAGUCAGUUGUGAAAUCUCCGGGCUUAACUCGGAACGGUCAACUGAUACUGCUCGGCUAGAGUGCGGAAGGGGCAACUGGAAUUCUUGGUGUAGCGGCGAAAUGCGUAGAUAUCAAGAGGAACACCUGCGGCGAAGGCGGGUUGCUGGGCCGACACUGACGCUGAAGUGCGAAAGCUAGGGGAGCGAACGGG